rnacentral:rRNA from 1 species
GACGAACGCUGGCGGCGUGCUUAACACAUGCAAGUCGAACGGAAAGGCCCUGCUUUUGUGGGGUGCUCGAGUGGCGAACGGGUGAGUAACACGUGAGUAACCUGCCCUUGACUUUGGGAUAACUUCAGGAAACUGGGGCUAAUACCGGAUAGGAGCUCCUGCUGCAUGGUGGGGGUUGGAAAGUUUCGGCGGUUGGGGUUGGACUCGCGGCUUAUCAGCUUGUUGGUGGGGUAGUGGCUUACCAAGGCUUUGACGGGUAGCCGGCCUGAGAGGGUGACCGGCCACAUUGGGACUGAGAUACGGCCCAGACUCCUACGGGAGGCAGCAGUGGGGAAUAUUGCGCAAUGGGCGGAAGCCUGAUGCAGCAACGCCGCGUGCGGGAUGACGGCCUUCGGGUUGUAAACCGCUUUCGCCUGUGACGAAGCGUGAGUGACGGUAAUGGGUAAAGAAGCACCGGCUAACUACGUG